rnacentral:tRNA from 1 species
ACGGUUGCUGGUUGGCUCAGUGGUAAAGCGUCCCAGUUCUCAUGGAGAGGUCAGUGGUUCAAUUCCCACUGUCUACCGUU